GAUUGACAGCUAUCCACCUGAACCCAUUGAAACCGGCAGAAGCGUGUACGCAUUUUAACCUUCCAAGCCAGUGGCGCGGCUGCGCAUUUCUAUCCUUUAAGCUAUGAGCGCAGAUACGUCAUUUAGCAACAUUCUGUAGUUUUUCAAUCAUUUCUGGAGUCAUGGCGAAUCAAAUCAUCAUACCAGUCUACCUCUGAUAAGCUAUUAAAGCUUAAGCGCUUGGAUUCAUGCUCGGAUCUUCCUACGUGCCUCGUGAGGAAAGGAAACAAUUACAGAGGCGGAGAGCAGCUUCGGAGGAGAAGCAUCGGGCAGUGUGAACAACCUCUUCAUAGUGAGGUCUUUGGCUCACAUUAUCGGUGAUUUCUGUGAGUGUUGCAUGACUUUGGGUGAGCACAGAGAUGAACACACUGUCAGAAACUUAUUUAUCUAUUUAUUAGUUUUUGGUGCUGCUUUUGUACUAACACUAUACUGGGGCAGCUACAUACCCUUUCAACAUUUAAUUUUUUAUAUUUACAUUUGUAUUGAAUGGACACUUUAUCAUGACUGCCUCUUGUUUUACAGAAAGCAAAUAGUUUGUUUUUCUCCAGUGCAAUCCUUACUUUUAUUUAUACAGCCACUUUAUUUCAUUUGAGUUCGUUUGUUCGAGGUUUUUGAUAAUGUGAUGAAGGUUCGGAAAAAUAAAAGAUAGGUAUCUUGAAAGCCACAUGUAUAAGCUCUCAAAUACUUUUUAAAUUUUGUUUCUAUCUGCUACAGAGGCUGACAUAUCAGCUUUUUUGUAAACCUCAACACUCAACAAGAAAACCUCAGGAUCUGGGGGCCCUUCUCAAAAUGGCCCUCAGGAUUUCAGAGGUGGGUCUCAGACAGGGUUCAGGUCUUAAUGGGUUAAAAGUGGGGAAAAGUUUCUCUGCCUCUGUAGUGGAUAGCUGUCAAUCAUCCUCACAGUCUAUGCCCUUACCAGAGAGACAGAGAGCUCUUUACACAAAUGUGGUCAAGUUUUUUCUGUCAUGACUCUAAAAUUACCAUUUUGCUAGAACUGCCACAUUUUUAUAUCAUAUAUCAAACAAGUAGUCUUAAAGUUGAAAAUGAGUAACAUUACGCUAGCAAUAAUAAGAAUUUUUUUAUCUUUAAAUCAUUAAUUCUAGCCAUAAACUGCAGUGGUUUCUAAAAAAAAAAAAAAAAAAAACCUAAUCAAAUAGAACUGUCCACCAGAGGGCGCUGUUUCUAGCUAAAACUGCCCUGCUGUAAAUAAUGACUGUAUUAUUCCACUUAAUUUAAAAUAAAAGAAUCAUCUACCAACACAUGUCAUGAGUCUUUAUCAAUAUAUUUAUGGAUAAUUCAAUAAAUUAGUAUGCCUUUGUAUCUGACAGAAACAUACUCGUAGUAGAAAAUUGUGACAUGUUGUUCUUGAAGCAGAUCGAGGACUUUCAGUCCAGUGACUGACGGAAGUGUAAUGCAUAUUAAGACUAUUGCACUAAAUCAUGAAAGAAUCACAUUAAACACUGGAGUUAAAAGUCCCAUGUUUAAUUGAUGUAAUAGACACAAGAACAAUAACACCCAACACGGCGAAAGGUUUACUUAUUCAUUUCUUCAUAGAUAUUUGAGACCUACAUCAGCUGCUCUGACAGUCAUGAAAAAAUAAGUGCAAUCAGGUCUUAAGCACAAAUUCAGUAAAACUUUUUACUUAAAUUUGUUUUUACUGUUUCAAGACAUCACGGUUAAAAACAACUCCUUGAUCAGUAAAGAAGCCUGAGAGUUUCUCUGAGCUCUCACCACGGUCCAGUUUGACAUCCUCAGCACAGAUUUUUGUCUUUUGUUGGGUUAAAUGUGACAAACUAAUUGUGUCUUUUCUUUUCUUUCAGGACCAACUGUGGUUUUUUCCUCUUGUGAAUUGUUUUUCUUUGUUCAUACUUAGCAUUUUUGGGGGAGUCUAAGUAUGUGGAUUAUUUAGUUGGAGUAUAGUUUAGUUAAGUUAGGUACAGGCAGUGAAGGUAGGAGUUUUAUUUGAUUUCUUUGAUAUAAGAGAGAUCUUGAGCUCCCCUUUUAGGUACUUGCUACACUCUCUGAUAGGUGGGUUGGAGAUUGAGCUGCCUAUAAAAGGAGAGGAGAAUUGCUCCCAAAGAAGAAAGAUGUGCCCUUGUAUAAUCUCAUUUCAGACUCAUUUUGUUUGAUCUUGGGAAAAGUUUGUAGUUUUUAAUGGAACCUUUAUAUGUGGACUUGACUGUAAAUAAAAACAUAUUCACUUCUGAGAAUACAGCAGUCUGUUGAGUUGCCUUCCCUACCACCUUCCUAGGCUCUUGAGCCAAAACUACUUUACAAAGACCCUGAAGAACUGAGCCAACAACAUAAUCACCAGAGGGGGGGACCCACAAGUUUAUUUAAAAAAAUAAAAACUGUGACUAUGUGUCUCUUUAUUUUAAUCAGAUCCAAGUCUAGUUGAAAGGAGAGUGAAAGAGAAAACAAACAGAAUAGUCCAGGUCUAGGUGAAUUUUGAAGUCCAGGAGCCAAAGUGCCAAGAUAAAAGGGCGCGCAGUUCAUACCCAAGUGUGGAUCGUAUCUUGUAGCAUGUGUGUUAGUCAAUUGGCUCUCAAUGUGUGGACCCCGGUUCGAUUCCAGCUAGUGACGGGGUAGUUCAAAGUAAUGAAAUGAUGAAAAUUUCCUUCUAUACCGUAAUCGGUAUAGACUCCUGAAGAAGUGAUGGUUCACUUCUAAUGAUGGCUAAUUCUGAUCGUUACUAAUACUCUCCAGCCACGAGUUGGUAUCAAACCAGGCCCCAUUGGGUGCCAAUAGACUUCCAUGCAGUGCCAUUAGAUAGGAUCCACACUAGGGCAUGCGGAAUGCCCACUUUUAUCUUUGGCUAAUGGACUUUAAAAAUUCAAGUAGAUGUGGGUAAGGUGAGAAUCGAACCCACGACCUCAAGAGUCUCAGUCAGUGUUCUUACCCUCUGAACUAUGCAGGCACACAGAGUAAUUCCGGGUUUUUCCUAUUUAACUCUUCUUUCUAGACACGUCUUUAAAUUUUAACUAGAUUUGGAUAAGGUAGGGCUCGAACCCACAACCUCAGGAGUGCCAGUCAGUCUUCUUAACCUCUGAGCCAUGUGGACACACAGGAAAUUUCCAGGUUUUUCCUAUUCAACUCUUCUUUCUAGACACUAGGCUUUAAAUUUCACCUCGAGCUGGAUAAGGCAAGGAUCGAACCCACGACCUCAAGAGUCUCAGUCGGUCUUCUUACCCACUGAGCCAUGUGGACACAGGAAAUUUCCAGGUUUUUCUUAUUUAAGUCUUCUUUCUAGACACUAGGCUUUAAAUUUCACCUCGAGCUGGAUAAGGCAAGGAUCGAACCCACGACCUCAAGAGUCUCAGUCGGUCUUCUUACCCACUGAGCCAUGUGAACACAAAGGGUA
rnacentral:lncRNA from 1 species